GUAUUCAGACCGAUAAAACCAGCCAGAAAUGCCAAGCCCACCUCCAUCCACACCAUGCCUCUCCCUCCUCUUACUUCUCUUCACCUCAUCUCUCAUCGGAGUCUCUCAUGGCGGCGGGAUCGCCAUUUACUGGGGCCAAAACGGCCACGAAGGUACCCUCACCAGUACAUGUGCCACCGGCAAAUACGCCUACGUAAACCUCGCAUUCCUCAAUAAGUUUGGCGGUGGCCAGACCCCGCAAAUCAACCUCGCAGGCCACUGUGACCCUACCUCGGGUGGCUGCAUUAGGAUAAGCAACGGCAUUCGGAGCUGCCAGAAUAGGGGCAUCAAGGUGAUGCUCUCCCUAGGCGGCGGCGAUGGGAGCUACACGUUGACAUCUCGGGCCGAUGCAAGGAACGUAGCGAACUAUCUGUGGAACAAUUUCCUGGGUGGCACAUCUAGUUCUCGUCCACUAGGAGAUGCAGUCUUGGAUGGCAUUGAUUUCGAUAUUGAACUUGGGUCUACCAAAUAUUGGGAUGAUCUUGCCCGUUAUUUAUCAGACUAUAGCAAGCAAGGGAAAAAGGUGUACCUAACGGCAGCUCCUCAGUGCCCAUAUCCCGAUAGUCAUAUGGGGGCUGCGCUUAACACCGGUCUUUUCGACUACGUCUGGAUACAGUUUUACAAUAACCCUCCAUGUCAAUACAGCUCCGGCGAUAUUAGCAAGCUCACAAGUUCUUGGAGCAAAUGGGUUGCUUCCAUAAACGCCAGGAAGAUGUUCGUGGGCCUGCCGGCGUCCACGGAAGCAGCAGGAAGUGGGUAUGUUCCACCAAACGUCUUGACUUCUCAGAUACUUCCUGUCAUAAAGAAGUCAGCGAAAUACGGAGGCAUAAUGCUGUGGUCAAAGUACUAUGAUGAUAAGAAUGGUUACAGCGACUCCGUUAAGAGUAGUGUAUGAGCUGGAUCUCCAUGCACGACAGGAGUACAGUCUCAUUUCUAGAAUUAAAUAAAGCUGUUGGCAAGCGGUAUGUCCAAUACAUUAAGGCUUAGGCCAUCAAGUAAUGUGGGAUUAUAAUAUUCUGAGAAAAGUUUACUGUUUAUGAACUUUAUCUUCCAGGAAAGUCUCUAUUGAGCCACUAAUCUCUUCCUCAAUUUGUUCUAUGUUUCCUGCAUAUUACAUUUAAAAGUGGCCUCAACUAGCUCAGUACAAACCAGUACCUCAUUAGCUAGCCUGGGCAAUCCUGGAGGCUGAUGGAGGCAGCAAUCCGCUCCCGUCACCAAUGUUCGACAACAUCUCUCAAUUAAUUUAUCUCUACAAGUGGUCGAAAUUAUCCACUUUCCUUGUCAUAACCUCCUAUUUGCCAUUGUUAACCAGAUCAAGUAACACAAUACAGCUAUACUGUAAUCCCAAUACCAAUAACAAAAAUACUCACACCGCAGAUUUACCACUGCCCUCAUCACAAAAACCUGAGUCAUUGACCGUCCUUCCUUCCCUUUUAAGAACGGAAAGUAAGCACAAAUCAUGUAAAAGGUCAUUUACAUGGAUUCACAAGAUCCCAAGACGGCUCCGGUCAAAGAUUUCCUUUCUUUACUCGCAAAAACUGUCAUCUUGUCCUCUUUUUCUUCUAUAUCUCUCAACAUGCUUACGACCUGUUCUCUACCUCCAUAUUUUUAUCAAAGAGGCAAGAAGAAUUAAACACGGGCAUAGUUUGCCUCCUUUCUUCGACCUCUAAUGUCCACCGCUUGCCUAUUUUUUUGCUUCUAGCUUGUUUUCCACCACCGUGAAGUAUUUACAUGGAUAAAUUCACCGUCAUGUUUCAAGACUCUUCAGAGAGUCCAGUGUACGGAGGAAAUCGUGCAAAAGCAAAACUUUUGUUACUCAAUUAACUCGUUUAUAUAACAUUACCCAUGGUAAUCAAGGGUAAUUUUCAUUUCCCCCCAAAGUUUCAGGUAUUACAUUAGCAUAGAGUAUACUGCCCUGCCAAGUACGAACAGCAGUUGGGUCCAUGUGAAUUUAAGCAGAAAAUGACAAAAUUAGAUGGGACCAUGACACUGACUAAACAAAAAAAAUCAUUAAAUAGAACUAAACAUUAGUUAAUUACCAGAAUUAAGAAAUACAACUUCCCAUCCUUCUGCAGCUCUAUUCACUUCCAGCAAUCUUUUUCUUCAACGCUUCAAUAUCACUGGCCAAUUCCUUUCUGCUAGACUGCAAACGGGUAGCAGAAAUUGGCAUCAUGUGGCUCACUCGAGAGGGAACCUCAGGACAAGAUGAUGCAACGCACUAUGCACUCACAUGGAUUUGUCCCAAAUCUCUACACCACAGACAUGGUAGAGAAUAAAGCAUCAGACUUCAAAAGAACCUAAUGAUGCUUCCAUCCGGGUCUAAAUUAAACAUGUCAUUCCCUGAGCAUUUCCAUUUCAUGCAACACAUACUAUACCAAAUUGUUAUGUUAUAAAUUAAGGCCGGAAUAUGAUAAACAUUGCCUUAUCAUGUAGCUUUCAUGCACCGGUACCUAUAGAGAUCCUUCAUUAUCCUUUAUCUGCUCCACCAACAAGACAAUGUCUCACAUAAACUAUAUUGUCAAGAACACUACGGAUACACUGCAAAAUCGAGUCGUUUGCUGAUACUAUCUCACCAGGAGUAAGUGAAAAAAUGCUACCAGCAGAGAAAUAGAGCAUAAAUAGCCAACUUUACCUUAAAGAGCAAAUAUCUGUAGACAAACCAUCCUGUGUAUCCAAGACCUAGCAACUGCAUGACCUUUGGCAGCUGUAAGCAAACUAUAUCAGAAGAGCUCUCGCCACUAGGAGACAAUCAAAUUUAUGGCAAUUUCUACAGGCAGCUAAUGCUAAAUAAUCAUGCCAAAAUUUUACUACUUACUGACCUUUUCUUUUGCUCCGGAUGUUACAUAGGCACCUUAAAUAAGUUCUCAAUUGCAAGAACAGAAGAAAGCCAAACCUACCAAAGGGACUGAGUUGAUAGCCUCAGCUACAAAAGAUGACAGCCAAACAGCAACUGUUGCCCCACUACCAUAUAUGAAGACUCUGGAUUUGUCUUCAAUAGCAUCCCACUGCCAAGUUAUCAUCUAAUGUCAACUUUUUUUUUUCAAUCAAACAGAGGUAAGUGCCUGGUCGACAAAUGCAAUAUUUUAAGGCCCAAAAUCACCAUUUUAAUUGAAAAUAUGUGGAUGCUGUCAUUUGCUCAAUAUUAAAGAGUUGACUUGGUCAAGUUGACCCUACUUAACUUCAAUCACUAGACAUCAUGAUCAUGGAGUGCUGCAGUUAGCUUACCUCAUGAAAUGUUAGCAAGAAAUAAUUCUUAUCCCUUUGGAGAAAUUACAAGCCAUUUUUUCCCUUUGUCAGGAAUCGUCAAUAUAUACCAAUUAAACGAUAUGAGACAGAAAAAUUACCUCAAUGGGCCAAAAUCAGGGGAAGAAAAUAAAUUCACUUGAGACGAAUUUUUAAUGUUUCUAUUGUGCUGUGUGGGUUUUCAUAAUCCAACAUUGCGAAGUAAUAGCACCCUAACCUUCUCCUUCAAGUCAGCAAACAUCGCUCCAACUUCAACAGGCCUAGUUGUCUGUUCAGAAGAAGCUCUGAUCUGGACAGACUUGAACCUGUUGGAAUACUCAAUGAGAAAGACCUAAUUCGAUGUGCCAGAAAGGUAAAACUUUUGAAACUUUGAUAAACUCAUCAUCAUGCGAAAAAACACAAGUAUCUGAACAAAUGAAAAAAAGUUGUGACGACAUAAGUCCAUCUAUGAUUCUGCCAAUUUAACCAAAUUAACAUAUGUAGUUCUUCAUAUUUCUGCUUUAAAAAUAUGCCUGUUGGAGGAAAGUAAGCAGCUAAACAGUAAGUUAGCGCAGCUUCAAGCUCUGUUGGAGGAAAAAGAAACACAAUUAUGCUGAUCAAGGAAGUAAGUCUGUCUGUCUUUUUGGGGUAAACUCUGUCAACUUUUUACCUCAAAACUUAUGGGUCUAUUGUCUGCACCAUUUUCUGAUAAUAUUUUAAUUGUUGUGAUUGUGCUUGCAACUGGUCAUGCUGCAUCAGCGAUGGAUGCUAGCAUAGCUCGGAGUAAUUCUUCAACUCUGUCAAGUGGUGUGCUUGAUGAAAAUAUUGCAUCAUCACGAGAUAAUCAAGACACCCAUGAUCAUGCUGCUCCCAAUCCGGGUAAUAGAGUGCUGGCCCAUGAUUUGGUUGAUGCUGCAAAAGCCAAAGUCAACUUAGAAUCUCUUGCGACACCUUCUGCUCAUGUUACAACCUCUCUAAGUGUAUGUAGUGAUAAUAGAAAUGGUGGUUCCAAUCUAAUGCUCAAAGAUGGUACCAUUGGUAAAUUUCUAAGCCUAAAUUCAAGCAAAAUUCAAAGCAUGUUCACUUAUGUGAAGUUUGGUUAGUUGCUAGAAGAAUUGCACUCUAAAUUGUCUUCAGUCCAAGCUGGUAGAUGUUGAAGUGACCCAACAAGGCCAGGAACUGAACUCGAUGAGGGAAAGCUAAUUUCUUGAUCCGGGGUUUCAAUUAAAUAAAAAGGCUAAAGGAAAAGCCGCUUACUCGGACAAUAGACCUCAAAACAAAAGAAGAGACCCGCACUCACACCUUAGUCUCACUCUCAAACAAAAGGAAAUGACGAUUCAAUGAAAGGGACCUUAGACAACUGGACUAGAUCGAAAGCCUGGAAUGAUUCUGGACUAGUGCUGUUGGACAAGUUUGCACAAGUGCUUAAUCAUCAAUGGUAAAACAAAGAUAUUGGGAUAAUGUAUGGCUGGAAGAUCCUCUGGACUAUUAGGACGUGUUGCAUUUCGUGCAACAGAUGAGACCCCAGAUUCACGAAACUAUCUUCAUUCCAUUUUUCACCAGAAUAUCUGCAAUGAUUGGAAUAGUUGCAUUACAAAGUUAUACUUGGUAAGUAGUUGCUUAAUGCAUUGAUCAGAAACUGGAAGAGAAGUAGAAGGAGAAGAAGAAUUCCCUGAGGUGAAAGUAGACUUUCAGGUAAUUCUGUCAAGCUGAUUGAAUGACAUCUUUAGGACUAACACAUUACACCUUUUAUUGGUUAAAGUGUUAUCUGGUAGUGACUCCACCCUGCAACGCCAUGAACUAUAGGAAACAUUUUUGGGCCAUACAAGUCCAAUCACUCGACACCACUUCUCUGCCUCUGGGAACAAUAUUGCCAGGGAAUCCAUGGAUGGCACCGUCAGGUUCAAAAUGUCAAUUUGGCCGAUAUAAGCUUUUUUCUUUAAGCCAUUGCCAGUUUCAAACUUAUUUUCUAGUUUGGGUUGAUAUUCUUCGUUAAAAUGGAUAAGGUUUUCUCUCCGGCCAUCUAUGCCCAGAUAGAAUAGGUAGUGCAAACAAAGGUUUAUUGGCAUACGAGCAAGCUUCUUAUUCAAGAGUAUCAUCUAUUUCUUCUACUAUUUGGUUGUCCUAUGUUCUUUUACCUCUUUCAUGCAUUUUUAUUCAGAAUACGGACCUAUGACUCAUCAACUUCAACUCCAAGAAAUGCAACUAUUUACUGUGGGGCAGAGAUAAUGUCGCUGGACUGGGAGAAACCUUUGCAUUUUAGUCCAAUAUAUUGGCUAACCAGCCAAUGUUUCUUCAAGAGAAACCUUUCAUUAAGACCUUAUUUCUUUUUUACUAAAGCUUCUCAUAGGAAAUGCUGAUGGAGAAAUUAAGGCAUGGAAUGCUGACGCAAAAAGAGUUGUCUGUGAUCUCAAUACAACAGAGGCUUUUCCAAGGUUUUAAAACAUGAAUUGUGAUUUUGUAUUUCUUCAGUUCUUGCUUCUUGACAUUUGUGUUGUUCUGCAGUAUCUUGGAUUUGAAAUGCAGCCCAGUACAACCAAUUUUUUUUCUGCUGCGGCAUCCAAGUAUUAAUUUUCCCUUAGGACAAGGGAAUGCCUUUUUGUUGCAUCUUUACAAUUGAUUCCUUUGUUGGCCAUGUAUUUAAUAUAAGUUUUGCACUCCGUAUGAGGAAUAGUCUGUGCAGUUUUUCCACGAUUUAGUUGUUUGCAUUUUCUCUGGAAAUUUUUUUUAAAGUCUAUUUGGUUUAAAAUGCUUCCAUUUUGAUCUUAAAAUAGCAGACACGGUUCUGCACAUACUAGAUAUCGUGGAUCUUCUCUGUUGCAAAUUGUAUGUUGGUUAGCAACUUUUGGUGGCUCUGAGAUAAAACUCUUCCACAAAAAAGGAGGUUACGCGGUACAUUAAUUUGACCGCGAUUGAUGUUGCUAUUCUGUGAGUGAACUUUGAGGCUAUAGGUGACUUUAUAUCUCUUGGAUGAAGUGUCACUGGUUUAAAUACAAGGAUAUGUUAUCAAAAGUAAUCUUGUGGAGCGCAGACACUUAUGAGGUCCUUUAUGUUUGGCAUGCUAAAAGUCAGCCAUGCUCCUUGCUGCCUAAUGCAAAUGUGGUAUUUCUCUUAGCAGAACUUAAAGAUAUGACAAAACCUAAGCUAGUGUUUGACAGUGCCUGCAUGUUCGUCUGGGGAUAGCAUCUCCGUCUUUAGCAGAUGAAACUUUUUCUGGGAACUUUUCAGAAAUCUAUUCCAUGUCAGGUUGAUGCUUUUGCAAUGGAGAUUAUUUUCUUUAUAGAUGCACUUGAUAAUAGGUAUGUUUAAUCUUUGUAGGAUUGUUUCUGGUCAUAUUGAUGACUCGGCUUUUGCUUCACUAACUGUAUGGAACAUGAAGACAUGGAAAGCAGCGGUAUGUGUUUUUCUUGUUCCUGGAACAACCUAUGAUUGAAGUUACCAAUUUAUUCAUUGUCUUUUGUGACUGGAACAACUGCCUGGUUUUCCUCAAGACAGUCUUUCCUCUUGGUGAAGAUCCCCCUGCAAUUACUUCUUUGUGCUUUAACCACAAUGGGAAGAUUCUUGCUGCCUCUGCCACGGAUGGAAUGAUUCACACGCUCGGUAUCCUUUUAGUGUCUACAACGGUGAUGGCAAUGGAAUUCGAAGCAAAGACACAUUGAUCUGUCUUUGCCAGAUAGCCUCAUCUUCCCCUCCUCCUCCACAGAUCCAUCGCCUUCGAGGAGGAGAAAAGGGAAGUUCUGAAUCUUCACAAGGUGGACCUUGUUAUGUGUUGUAGCUUGGAUACAUUGAAGAAGACAUAUUGCUUUGGAAUUACCAUGAAUUCAUUUCUGCGUGGUUUUGAAUUAUCAUCGUCUCCUGUUUCUCCAAUAUGUGGCCUGUAGACUAGUAAAUGUUAGAAGGGAAUGCCUUAACUAGCCAUAGACAUGUCUGCCGGUCUCUCAAUUUAAUUUAUGGCCUGAGUAUGAUUGUGGUAUAAGCUCCCUUCUUUUUGGAGCCGAUAAGACAAACUUCUUUAGUUUGGGUAAAGAUGGAAUGGCAAGUACAUUCUCUUGUUACGAUUUAUAGAUGCAUACCAUGGAUGCUUGGAACUUGAGCAUCCAUUAAGCUCAUUCCAUCCCAUACAUUUUUAUGUUUAAUCAUGGUAUGAAAUAUUAAAAAACAUGAUGGUCUUGCCAUUUUAGGUGUCCGAGUGGAGCCUGUAGAAAUAGGGUCAUGUUCUGUGUGUCAAAGGAAACACUGCCAGUAAAGAGGAAUAAUCUAGAAUCACCCGGGAAUCACCACAACUUCCACUACAGGGAAGAUCACCCAAGAGAGAUCUCUCUUGAAUUUUCAUAGUGAAUAAUUGAAUCAAUCUAGAAUUAGAAUUGAUACACCUAGAUUAGGAAAAUAUACUCUUUCUUUUUAUUAAUCAUUCUUUGUAUUAUACAUUGGUUUCUUUAUACAAAGAUUCAUAUAGCUCUCAAUAUAAUAAAACUUUCCUCAAGGCAAUAUUCAGCUGAAACCUAUCUCCAUUGAAUUUUUCACAUGGUAAUCAAAGCCUUGAUUGUGCAAGCAUAGUUUUUUUUGUCUUUCCGAUCCAAUGGAAAAUGAAUCUUGUCCUGCUAUUGCUUCUUCUGGCAAUUCAACACUCAGUUCAUCAACACCUGAAACACCCACGGUCCUCCAUAUUACAGGGAAUUCAACUAACACCGUUACUUGUCCUGCAAUUGAUGUUAAAUUUAUAGGUGAUUACUAUGUUGUGUGGAAGGCCCGUUUGCUCCUAUUUCUUUGAGCAAAUAAACUGCUUUCAGUUGUUGAGGGAACUAAACCCUCUCCACCCAGUUAGAUCACUCAAGAAGGGAUCGAUGAAGCAAUUACAAUUGUGCCCAAUCCUGAAUAUGAUACUUGAUACACAAGGGAUCAAAUUGCUUUGGUAUGGAUCCUCAACACUACUUCAGAUGCCAUCGUUGGUUAACUUAGCAAUCUUGUAACCUCAGCAGAUGCAUGGAGAUUUCUAGCUGCCUCCUCUACCGCGCGGAACGGCGCAAGGGCCACACAUUUGCGCAUGUAGUUGCAAACAAUGCACAAAGGAAGUCAGACUGUUAUGGAAUUUCUCCAGCAUGCUACUGCAAUUGUUGAACAGCUUGCAUCCAUCGGUGAAACCAUCUCUCCUCAUGAGUAUCAAACUCAUCUUUUUCGAGGUUUAGGAGCUGAAUUUCAGAGUCUUGUAGUUGCAAAUUUCAGUUCAGAGUCAGUAUCAAGUGAUGACUCGUGAAUCUUUGCAUAGGUUAUUACUCUCCUAUGAAGUAUAGUUGGAGCUGAUGGAGUUGGCCACAGCACCAACAACAGCCUUUGCUGCUCAAGCCAACAAUAGCACUCUCUCACCUGCCCUUAAGCAAUAACGGUUUCGUACCACCUGCCGCGGUGACUCAGUUAGGUAAGCACUAGACUUUCAUCAAUGAGGUCUAGUGUUCGAAGCUCCUGCAACGCAGGAAUGCUAGCUUUGAGCCCUUUAGCGACUUACCUGGGGGCACGUGUGUGGUGGCUAGCACAUGUCGCCCCUAGUGGUUUAUCUCCGGCUGCCGGCCGUGCGAGGUUUCCUGGGUCACAAAAAAUAAAUAAAUAAAUAAAUAACGGUUUCGCACUCCUCCAGUUGACUGAAACCCACGUGGCUCUAAAUCUCAGUUUGGUGGCAGACAGGUGGCGCAAACAAUUAAUCCAAAUUAUGGUGGCCCACGACACCAAUCAUAUAUGUGCAAGUUACAUGUUCGAUAUAUAUCCACUCUUGAUCGACCCGCCAACAUUUUCAUCGAAGGGCUCUCCACCUCUUGAUUUCGCCUCCUACAAGCCAAGCUUACUGUGUAAUCAGUGGCAAGGGUUGUGUCAAAGGAAACACUGCCGGUGAAGAGGAAUAAUCCAAAAUCACCCAAGAAUCACUGCUACUUCCUCCCCAAGAGAGAUCACCCGAUAGAUAUCUCAUAAUCACUGCAACUUCCUCUCCAAGGAAGAUCACCCAAAAGAUAUAUCUCUUGAAUCUUCAUAGUGAUUAAUUGAAUCAAUCUAGGAUUGGAAUUGAUACACCUAGAUUAGGAAAAUACACUCUUUUUAUUAAUCAUUCUUUGUAUUAUACAUUGGCUCCUUUGUACAAAGAUUCAUAUAGCUCUCAAUAUAAUAAAACUAUCCUCAAUGCAAUAUUUUGCUGAAAUCCAUCUCUCUUGAAUUUUCACACUAUGGUCAAUCAAGUCAAAGAGGUAUCGAUUGCAAAACACAUAUUUACCUUCACAACCAUAAUAUACUUUGAUUUGUGAGAUUUCAUGGAUGUCACCCGGAAUGUCAAAUUGGUCUCUCAAUUUAAUUUACGCAUGGGGUUGAUGGCUUCUUGAAUCAAUUUCCAAUAAGAGUGAGGAAUUGUCCUCACUGAGGGGGACAAUCCUUAACAUGCGAUCAUCCUGCUAACUCAUGCCAUGUAAUUAAUCUUACGUAAGUGUGAGCUGUAAAGCUUCGGUAGUAAUUAUGUGGAUCGUGUUGUGCUUGUAGCUCCAUUCACUUAAGACAUGAAAUGGCUCUAGAUGCAAAUGGAAGGAGAUUGUUAGUUACUUCCGGUUCAGCAAGAGCACCCAUAUACUAGGUAAUCUCUCUCUCUCUCUCUCUCUCUCUCUCUCUCUCUCUCUCUCUCUCUCUCGCAUAUGCACACACGCACGCGCACAAAGAAACGAUGUAGGAAGCGAUGAAUGGGGGCUUUUAAGCUGCGUAGUUUCUUUUAUUUUACUUCUCGUUAAUAGUGCUCUGAUCAAUGGUUUCAAUGUAUAUUACUUGGAAAUGAUGUUAGCUCAUAUCUCAUUGCGUUUAUUUGGCUUAGAUACGAAGUCGGGCAGGUGGUUCGAGAACUCUCCCUCACAGUGCUUCUGUGACGACGGUGGAUUGGCACUCAACCUUGCCCAUUUUCUCGACUGGAUCAGCUGAUAAUUCCGUGCGCGUGACAUCCAUAUUGUGAAGACCCUCUUGUUUGAAAGGUAUUAGGUGCUUUGCUCUUCCAUUUUCAAGGCGUUCGUUCUUGUGAUUGAUUGUUGUAUGCUUUUGGUUGGAUGGAUGAUCGUCAGAUUAAUUUUGCUCCUUGAUUGGUUUAGCAAUUAGUAGUCCCCAACUCAUUCUUGUCAGCUAUAGAGGUUGUCAUAGGCUCAAAUGUAUCAUACUGAAAUUUAUCUUCAGACCUAUAAUAAGUUUGUAAGAUGACCUUUGAUAUGAUAGAUUCAGAUUGUUAUCACGAUUUCUUGUCUGCAUCUGUCAUUGGUUUUUUUUUUACUUUUUCCCUCUUCACAUCCAUUUACAAAAGUGGAAUGGAAAUUUGUCCACUCUUUAUUUUGAGUCAAUGUGUUUCCCUUUUUUAUCGAAUAAAUUCGGUAAUCAAUCAACUUAUGGCUUCGGAGUUAAUAUCAUGGAAAUUGUUUAGGCUAUGAGUUUCUCCUCCAAAUUUCAGCCAGUUCUAUUGAAACUGGCCUGGAACGCUUGUUUAAUUAAUAAAUUAAACCCGAUAAGGCAGAUGAUGCCCUUCACGCUAGUGCACAAAACUGUACCAAGAUCACUUCAACUCGGAAGGAGCUCAGGUGACUAGAUUGUGGUCAUGAGGAUGAUUGGCUCAAGUUGCAACAACAGCGGGAAUGGAGAUUCUUUAAGGAAAAAGGACAAGCGGACAAAUCAAGGAAGAGUAAUGGGUUGAGUCUAAAACCUGCUUCGGUGACUUGUAAUCUAGCGGUCAUCGGCGCCCUCUUCAUGUGCUUUCGAUUCUUACAGCUUUCUCAGGUUUUUCCGAUUUCUGUUGCCGAGUUUUGUGAGAAUCUUAACUUACUUUCGCAAAGUUUAUUGAUCAAGUUCGUAUCAUGUCAUUUGCCUCCCUUGUGAUUUCCUCAGUUGGUGCUGGCUACAUGCCAUCCAUAGUAGAUGCUCCGUUGGUCUUGAUGUGCUGAUCAUCAUGCCAAGACCAGCGAUAGCUGAUUUUUGCACCUUUAACAAGUCCUUUUCACUGCCUAGAGAAGUUUACGCAGUUUAGAGGACUCCCAGAACAUGACAACCAUUGUGAGGCUAUAUAUUGCUGGUUGUUGCUGGGGUUAAGAAAAUUUUAGUUGAUUUAGCUUCGGGGGAGAAAUUGAUCCUGGAUUGAGUUUGGCCGUGGUGAAUUGUUGUACCCGGGUUCUCCCCAACACAAACUAAUCAUUACACGUAGCAUAUGAUAAUUAAUGAUUGCUUUAAAUGGACGGUAAUAUUUGUACUCUCAAUGCACCUAAGGUGAUAUAGCUAAUCGUUGAGAACACAUUCACUUAUUGGUGGCAUUGUUUAAGACAAGCUUUGCCCUUUCAUCCUAUUAGCGUUGCCGGCUUGUGCUGCUUCUCCGGUGUAAUCACGCCUUGAUCAUUCUAUUUGUGAUUUCCUCUUAUCUUUUUAGAACGGGCAUUAAAGUGAUGAAAAUUCGGUACGAGGCCUAAAAAUGUCACUUUUAAUCACAUCAUUGAGUCUCCAAUCCUCUUUGGCUGGCUUCUUCUCUGCAUCAACCAACACCGUAUAACAAUGUCCAAUUGAUGGAUGAAAGUUUCCUACAACACGUUAUCAAAUAAAGUCCUUGAUAUUUUUUGGGAUGUUGUGUUCGUUAGCUUGAACUGGGCUUAGGGCAUCCUAUUAGAAUCAAUUUUCCAAUCCCGUUACGAGUAUGACGCAAAUGUGAGGAGUGUUACAUUUGAGAGGUAUAUGCCGAGCAUUGUUCCAAUUGAAAAUGACCUGUGGAAAGUUUGGACCAAAUACAUGAACCCAGCUAACCUUACCCCAGACUCCACGGUAUCAUGAUCACGACGCUGUCGGACCAGUACGAUAAAAUUGUCAUUUCUUCCCCCCAAUAAUGUCAUCAUGAAGAGAAAUUUCCACAGCCCACCUAUCUCCAAAGGAAAGAAACAGAAAAACACUGUUCUGAUCAGAGAUCUGAAGUCACAGGAUGCUUCUCCUAUUAAAAGUAACCUCCCCACACGCCAGCAGUCCAAGUUCAAACCCACGUAUUCAGACUGAUAAAACCAGCCAGGAAUGCCAAGCCCACCUCCAUCCCCACCAUCCCUCUCCCUCCUCUUACUUCUCUUCACCUCAUCUCUCAUCGGAGCCUCUCAUGGCGGCGGGAUUGCCAUUUACUGGGGCCAAAACGGUAACGAAGGUACCCUCACCAGUACAUGUGCCACCGGCAAAUACGCCUACGUAAACCUCGCAUUCCUCUACAAGUUCG
rnacentral:lncRNA from 1 species